UACGGAGGGGGGCGAGCGUUAUUCGGAAUUAUUGGGCGUAAAGGGCGCGUAGGCGGCCACCGCAAGUCGACUGUGAAAUCUCCGGGCUUAACCCGGAACGGUCAGCCGAUACUGCGGGGCUAGAGUGCAGAAGGGGCAACUGGAAUUCUCGGUGUAGCGGUGAAAUGGCGUAGAUAUCGAGAGGAACACCGGUGGCGAAGGCGGCAUCCUGGACCGGCAUUGACGCUGAGGCGCGAAAGCCAGGGGAGCAAACGGG
rnacentral:rRNA from 1 species